UAAGUAGUUUUGCAUGUAUUGAGUGUGUGUUUAAGUAAACAGUGAGUGAGCUUUGUACGUUGUUGCACUUCUUGUAAACCCUACGUUUGAGUUUUUGAGAGUUCGGAAAAUAUGGCAAGGUUUAGGGUGAUUAUUGGUGUAGCGUUCUUGAUUAUGGUCCUUGUGGACUUCUCCUUUGCCGCUAGACAAUCAAAGGCUUUACAUGGAGGAGGUGGCGGAGGAGGAGGUGGAGGCAGAGGAGGUGGUGGAGGAGGCAGUUUUGGGUCGGGGAGUGGGUUUGGGUCUGGUAGUGGAUAUGGGUCUGGGUAUGGAAGUGGUGGAGGAAACGGUGGAGGUGGUGGAGGCGGAGGUGGUAGAGGAGGUGGCGGUGGUGGAGGCUCCGGAGUUGGAGGUGGGUCUGGAUAUGGAAGCGGGUCUGGAUACGGAAGUGGAUAUGGAAGUGGUGGAGGUAGAGGAGGAGGAGGCGGUGGAGGAGGAGGAGGAGGAGGAGGAGGCGGAGGAGAAGGCCAUGGUGGCGGAUCUGGAUAUGGGUCGGGCCAGGGCUCCGGAUACGGUGGUGGAGGAGGUGAUGAAUCCCCAUAAACAUGAACACAUGAAGGUUCCUGUUUCAUUAGGUAGCAAUUAGCAAUGCACUCUUCAAUCCCACUUUUCACUUUUGGCAUUAGUAAUUCUCAAAUAAAAUUGUAGCGGAUUCACUUUAUGCAUACAUUUCACUUUUGGCAUUUGUAAUUCUCAAAUAAAAUUGUAGCGGAUUCACUCCUUGCAUGCGGUUUGUGCAUGCAUGGUGGGGAAAGUUGCAUUUCUUUCUGCAUGUGUCUCUACGAUACUGCUAUACACAUGCUUUGUUAUUACCAAGGUUUAUUGAUACAUCAAUGCAAAAUAAAAAUUUACCCGUGUGCUAGUUAUAGCAUUAUUCAACCAGCCCUUGUAUACAUUUCACACCCAUAUCUAUGGAAGUUUCGAAACCAUGAACGUUUUGUCUACAUCCUUAUAUUCAAGUGAAACGGUUUGUUGAACAAAAACAUUGCUGUAC
rnacentral:lncRNA from 1 species